UACAGAGGUCUCAAGCGUUGUUCGGAUUCAUUGGGCGUAAAGGGUGCGUAGGUGGCGGGUAAGUCAGGUGUGAAAUCGUCGGGCUCAACCCCGAAACUGCACUUGAUACUGCCUUGCUUGAGUACUGGAGAGGAGAUUGGAAUUUACGGUGUAGCAGUGAAAUGCGUAGAUAUCGUAAGGAAGACCAGUGGCGAAAGGCA
rnacentral:rRNA from 1 species